GAUGAACGCUGGCGGCGUGCUUAACACAUGCAAGUCGAACGGAAAGGCCCAAGCUUGCUUGGGUACUCGAGUGGCGAACGGGUGAGUAACACGUGGGUGAUCUGCCCUGCACUUCGGGAUAAGCCUGGGAAACUGGGGCUAAUACCGGAUAGGACGAUGGUUUGGAUGCCAUUGUGGAAAGAUUUUUGGGUGUGGGAUUGGCUCGCGGCCUAUCAGAUUGUUGGUUGGGUAAUGGCCUAUCAAGGCGUCGACGGGUAGCCGGCCUGGGAGGGGGUACGGCCACAUUUGGACUGGGAAUCGGCCCAGACCCCCACGGGAGGCAGCAGUUGGGAAUAUUGCACAAUGGGCGCAAGCCUGAUGCAGCGACGCCGCGUGGGGGAUGACCGCCUUCCGGUUGGAAACUCCUUUCGCUAGGGACGAAGCGUUUUGUGACGGUACCUGGUGAAGAAGCACCGGCUAACUACGUG
rnacentral:rRNA from 1 species